UACAGAGGGUGCGAGCGUUGUUCGGAAUUAUUGGGCGUAAAGGGCGCGUAGGCGGUGCGGUAAGUCACCUGUGAAAUCUCCCGGCUCAACUGGGAGGGUGCGCCGAAUACUGAGAGGCUAGAGUGUGGGAGAGGAAAGUGGAAUUCCUGGUGUAGCGGUGAAAUGCGUAGAUAUCAGGAGGAACACCGGUGGUGUAAACGGCUUUCUGGACCAUAACUGACGCUGAGGCACGAAAGCGUGGGUAGCAAACAGG
rnacentral:rRNA from 1 species